rnacentral:lncRNA from 1 species
UUUAUUCUACAAAAAGACUAAAGAGUGAUAUAUGGAGAACAACUUUAGGUAUAAGAUAAGAAAGAUUCUAGUUUUAUCAUUCUAUUUUUCUAGGGUUGUGCUUAAUAUAAUUUUUUAUACAAAAUAUACUACUCCAUUUAAGUAGAUUUCACUCCUAUCAAUUCUCCCCUGACCUCACCACUUAAAUCCAUGAUGUUCCUUUCAUUAAAAUAUCCACUUUUUCAUUUGUUUUCUUCUUUUUGUUCAUUAAACCCUACUCCUUAACCUCCUUCCCAUUUCUCUUUCACACUCUUUNNNNNNNNACCUCCUGCCCAUUUCUCUUUCACACUCUUUCCCUGCAAAGAAGAGAGAGAGAUCUCCAUUCUCUUAGCCACCUUAUCACUAAUAUUACUACUUCCAUCCCUUUCUUCUUUGGAUCUUUAAGAAAAUCUAACACUCUGAAACACACUUAAAACACUUGCACACCAAACACACCUCUCUCUCUCUCUCUCAAAUCUCUCCC